GACGAACGCUGGCGGCGUGCUUAACACAUGCAAGUCGAACGGAAAGGCCCUGCUUUUGUGGGGUGCUCGAGUGGCGAACGGGUGAGUAACACGUGAGUAACCUGCCCUUGACUUUGGGAUAACUUCAGGAAACUGGGGCUAAUACCGGAUAGGAGCUCCUGCUGCAUGGUGGGGGCUGGAAAGUUUCGGCGGUUGGGGAUGGACUCGCGGCUUAUCAGCUUGUUGGUGGAGUAGUGGCUUACCAAGGCUUUGACGGGUAGCCGGCCUGAGAGGGUGACCGGCCACAUUGGGACUGAGAUACGGCCCAGACUCCUACGGGAGGCAGCAGUGGGGAAUAUUGCACAAUGGGCGGAAGCCUGAUGCAGCAACGCCGCGUGCGGGAUGACGGCCUUCGGGUUGUAAACCGCUUUCGCCUGUGACGAAGCGUGAGUGACGGUAAUGGGUAAAGAAGCACCGGCUAACUACGUG
rnacentral:rRNA from 1 species